rnacentral:tRNA from 1 species
UGCCAAAAUUGUUCUGCUUUAAAUACAUCAUUUAAGAUGAAUUUCAUAUCAGCUAAAGGAGCAUUGUAAAUUG